rnacentral:rRNA from 1 species
AUUGAACGCUGGCGGCAGGCUUAACACAUGCAAGUCGAACGGCAGCACGGGAGCAAUCCUGGUGGCGAGUGGCGAACGGGUGAGUAAAGUAUCGGAACGUGCCCAGUCGUGGGGGAUAACGUAGCGAAAGUUACGCUAAUACCGCAUACGAUCUAUGGAUGAAAGCGGGGGAUCGCAAGACCUCGCGCGAUUGGAGCGGCCGAUAUCGGAUUAGGUAGUUGGGGGGGUAAAGGCUCACCAAGCCGACGAUCUGUAGCUGGUCUGAGAGGACGACCAGCCACACUGGGACUGAGACACGGCCCAGACUCCUACGGGGGGCACCAGUGGGGAAUUUUGGACAAUGGGCGAAGGCCUGAUCCAGCCAUGCCGCGUGCAGGAUGAAGGCCUUCGGGUUGUAAACUGCUUUUGUACGGAACGAAAAGGUUUGGGCUAAUAAGCUGAGCUCAUGACGGUACCGUAAGAAUAAGCACCGGCUAACUACGUGCCAGCAGCCGCGGUAA